GACGAACGCUUGCUUCUUUCUUAACACAUGCAAGUCGAACGGAAAGGCCCUGCUUUUGUGGGGUGCUCGAGUGGCGAACGGGUGAGUAACACGUGAGUAACCUGCCCUUGACUUUGGGAUAACUUCAGGAAACUGGGGCUAAUACCGGAUAGGAGCUCCUGCUGCAUGGUGGGGGUUGGAAAGUUUCGGCGGUUUGGGAUGGACUCGCGGCUUAUCAGCUUGUUGGUGGGGUAGUGGCUUACCAGGGCUUUGACGGGUAGCCGGCCUGAGAGGGUGACCGGCCACAUUGGGACUGAGAUACGGCCCAGACUCCUACGGGAGGCAGCAGUGGGGAAUAUUGCACAAUGGGCGGAAGCCUGAUGCAGCAACGCCGCGUGCGGGAGGACGGGAGUCGGGUUGUAAACCGCUUUCGCCUGUGACGAAGCGUGAGUGACGGUAAUGGGUAAAGAAGCACCGGCUAACUACGUG
rnacentral:rRNA from 1 species